CAUGCCUUACACAUGCAAGUCGGACGGCAGCGCGGGUUUCGGCCUGGCGGCGAGUGGCGAACGGGUGAGUAAGACAUCGGAACGUGUCCUGGAGUGGGGGAUAGCCCGGCGAAAGCCGGAUUAAUACCGCAUACGCUCUGAGGAGGAAAGCGGGGGACCUUAGGGCCUCGCGCUCAAGGGGCGGCCGAUGGCAGAUUAGCUAGUUGGUAGGGUAAAGGCCUACCAAGGCGACGAUCUGUAGCUGGUCUGAGAGGACGACCAGCCACACUGGGACUGAGAC
rnacentral:rRNA from 1 species